ensembl:snoRNA
GCACAGCCCUGGUUUGUGGUAGGCUACCUCCAUGGUUCUCACAUGGUGCCCCCUGCGAGACACACUGCAGUCCCCAACUGUGUGUAGACUCCCUGCCCAUAGGCCAUGGAUGCUGCUGUGAGCAGCACAAUG